UCCGGCUUAUCACCGGCAGUCCCCUUAGAGUGCCCAACUAAAUGAUGGCAACUAAGGGCGAGGGUUGCGCUCGUUGCGGGACUUAACCCAACAUCUCACGACACGAGCUGACGACAGCCAUGCAGCACCUGUGUCCAGGUUCCCUUUCGGGCACUCCCCCGUUUCUGGAGGAUUCCUGACAUGUCAAGGGUAGGUAAGGUUUUUCGCGUUGCAUCGAAUUAAACCACAUGCUCCACCGCUUGUGCAGGCCCCCGUCAAUUUCUUUGAGUUUUAAUCUUGCGACCGUACUCCCCAGGCGGAUGACUUCACGCGUUAGCUGCGUUACUAAGGGAUUUAACUCCCCCAACAACUAGUCAUCAUCGUUUAGGGCGUGGACUAC
rnacentral:misc_RNA from 1 species